CCUACGGGAGGCAGCAGUGAGGAAUAUUGGUCAAUGGGCGCGAGCCUGAACCAGCCAAGUCGCGUGAGGGAGGACGGCCCUACGGGUUGUAAACCUCUUUUGCCGGGGAGCAACGGGCGCCACGUGUGGCGCCACUGAGAGUACCCGGAGAAAAAGCAUCGGCUAACUCCGUGCCAGCAGCCGCGGUAAAACGGAGGAUGCGAGCUUUAUCCGGAUUUAUUGGGUUAAAGGGGUGCGUAGGCGGAUGGUUAAGUCAGGGGUCAAAUUGAGGGGCUCAACCCCUUCCCGCCAUUGAAACUGGCGUUCUUGAGUGGAAGAGAAGUAUGCGGAAUGCGUGGUGUAGCGGUGAAAUGCAUAGAUAUCACGCAGAACCCCGAUUGCGAAGGCAGCAUGCCGGCUUCCGACUGACGCUGAAGCACGAAAGCGUGGGGAUCGAACAGGAUUAGAUACCCGGGUAGUC
rnacentral:rRNA from 1 species